AAAAAAAAUGAAUUGACUCAAAAAUUUUACUAAGUAUACGGAGGUUUUAUUACAACAUUACUGAAACUGCACUUUUUUAAUUAGAAUAUUAAGGUGAUUUUUUUAUAUCAAAAAGAUAUUGACAAAAAAAAAAGUCAGAGAAAAAAAAAAGAAGAAUUCAAAGAAGAAAAACUGGAUAGUUACUAUAUGUAUAAAUUUAAUAACUGUAGUGGAAUACCUGAUUGUCAUAAGUAUUAUAUUCCUAAAAAUAUUUUCAGGAAAGGAUUAAGUAAAGCUUUAAUAUAAAAUAUAUGUUAAAUUAUAAAAAAAAAUGCGCAUAUAUAAAUAAAUUUAAUAAUUUUUUUUUAAUUAAAUAAAACAUAAAUAAAUAAAAUUAAUAAUAAUUACUUAUUAUAUAAUAUAAUAAAAAUCAUAUCCGAAAAUUGUUAAAUAAUUCAUAAUACUAUGUUUAUAUACAAUAAUAUUAAUUAAUGGCUUGUAAAGAUUUUGAUUAAUAUGAUAAUAUGCUAGUAUACAAUUUCAUAUUCAAUUUAUUUUAAUAUUUUACAUAAUAUAUUAUUUUAAUUAUAUAUAUAU